AAUAGCCUAACGGCUGAACCAGCAACUUGGAGGAAUGUAUAGCAAUUGCUAAUUGCACUAAAAUUUUUAGUGUAAAAUCAACAUAUUUGAAUAAAAUUCUGGAUGGAAUUAUGAUAAUGACAUUAGCUGUUCAUAAGUCUUGACCAAAUUACGUGCCAGCAGUCGCGGUAAUACGUAGAAGACAAGUGUUAUUCAUCUUUAAUAGGUUUAAAGGGUACUUAGACGGAAAAUCAAGCCUCAAAAAGGGACUAAUUUUCUAGAGUUUUAUGUGAGUAAGUAUUAAUGUACUGCUGGUGUAGAGAUGAAAUUCUGUAAUACCUUGAAUGGCACAGGUUAAGGCGAAAGCAUCUUUUUAUGUAAAAACUGACGUUGAAGGACGAAGGCUUUGUGUCUCGAACAGGAUUAGAUACCCUAGUAGUCUAAGCAGACAAUGAUGAAUGUCAUAGAUUAGAUUUAAUUUGAUCUAUAAAUGAAAGUGUAAGCAUUCCACCUCAAGAGUAAUUUGGCAACAUUGGAACUGAAAUCAUUAGACCGUUUCUGAAACCAGUAGUGAAGUAUGUUGUUUAAUUUGAUAAUCCGCAAAAAACCUUACCACAAUUUGAAUAGAUAUAUUUUAUCAUACAAGCGUUGCACGGCUGUCUUCAGUUAAUGUCGUGAGACUUUGGUUAGUUCCAUAAAAUUAACGUAAACCCUUACUUUAUUUUUAAAUAAAGUAGCUCACCGCUAUAUUGGAUGUGAUAACAGGGAUCAAGACAAGUCAUCAUGACCUAAAUAUUGUGGGCUAUAGACGUGCCACAUAUGCCUUACAAAAAGAUGCUAAAUUGUAAAAUGGAGCUAAUCUUCUAAAAUUGGAUAUAAAUUUAAU
rnacentral:rRNA from 1 species